UUGUGACCUAUACAACCGGAUUUUCUGGACCGUCUUACUGGAGAUUAGUGACACUAAGAAGGGAGGUAAUCGAAGGUCACUCUGAAAGAAGCAGGAUAAAGAUAACAUUUGCACGGUUUCUGUAGAGACUGUCUGUUGGAUCACAGUAUCAAGGAAUACAGUCAGACAACAUAUAAAAAAUGAAAGACGAAUUAGCUCCUUACCAGGAGGGAAAGUACUAUAACUUCAAAAAUAUUUUCAUUUCCAAAAUGGCCUACAAUGCUGCAGGACUAUAUUACAUAGGCAGAAAUUAUACGAAGGUAGCACAUACACAAUAUGGUAGAAAGUUGGCCUUGGGUUUUAUAUUCUCCACUUUUGUUGUGGACUUCUUCAUGAUAAAAGAGUUCAUGAAAAACAGAGACAGAACAGACUGUAUGUUUGCAUAAAAGAUAUUUAUUGUGGAGAAAUUCGUAUAUUGUAUUAAAAUGUUGAGAAAAAAGUCAUUGAAAUAGGAAGUAUUUACAAUUUUUGUGUUAAAACCAAUAUUAUCUACUGUGAAUCUGGCAGAACAAUGCAUUUUGGGGAAUUCCGUGUUAUCUGUUUGGAAGUGUGAAAAAAAAUGACAAAAAAUGCAAAUUUUGACAUAAUUUUCUAAUCCAAUUUAAUUUAACCUUACAACUUGCCAGCUUUUAUAGAUUUUUUAAAGUUUCACUCUUAAAUUGAAUUUCUUCUGUAUGAAUAAAAAAAUUGUUAUGAAUGUUAA
rnacentral:lncRNA from 1 species